GCCCGGGUGGUGAAAUCGGUAGACACAAGGGAUUUAAAAUCCCUCGAUCGUAAGGUCGUGCCAGUUCAAGUCUGGCUCCGGGCACCA
rnacentral:tRNA from 1 species